AUUGAACGCUGGCGGCGUGCUUAACACAUGCAAGUCGUGCGGUAACAGGCGUAGCAAUACGUGCUGACGAGCGGCGAACGGGUGCGUAAUACAUGGGAAUCUGCCUUUUAGUGGGGAAUAACCCGGCGAAAGCCGGGCUAAUGCCGCAUAAGAUCUUCGGAUGAAAGCGGGGGAUCGUAAGACCUCGCGCUGAUAGAUGAGCCCAUGCCGGAUUAGCAGUUGGUGAGGUAACGGCUCACCAAGGCGACGAUCCGUAGCUGGUCUGAGAGGACGGCCAGCCACACUGGGACUGAGACACGGCCCAGACUCCUACGGGAGGCAGCAGUGGGGAAUAUUGGACAAGUGGGGAAACCCUGAUCCAGCGACGCCGCGUGUGUGAAGAAGGCCUGCGGGUUGU
rnacentral:rRNA from 1 species